rnacentral:rRNA from 1 species
GGUCUAAUUACCCCCAUAACCAUAGAUAAAGGCAUCUUAUUUAUUUAAAAACUCCGGUGGUUUAAGAUGUGCAUGCGUUGUAUUAGAUAGUUGGUAAGGUAACGGCUUACCAAGUCUACGAUACAUAGGGGGACUGAGAGGUUUACCCCCCACACUGGUACUGAGACACGGACCAGACUCCUACGGGAGGCAGCAGUGAGGAAUAUUGGUCAAUGGACGCAAGUCUGAACCAGCCAUGCCGCGUGCAGGAAGACGGCUCUAUGAGUUGUAAACUGCUUUUGUACCAGGGUAAACCUAUCUACGUGUAGAUAGCUGAAAGUAUGGUACGAAUAAGGACCGGCUAACUCCGUGCCAGCAGCCGCGGUAAUACGGAGGGUCCAAGCGUUAUCCGGAUUUAUUGGGUUUAAAGGGUGCGUAGGCGGUUUGUUAAGUUAGAGGUGAAAUCCCGUGGCUCAACCACGGAACUGCCUCUGAUACUGGCGAGCUAGAGAGAGGUUGCUGUGGGCGGAAUGUGUGGUGUAGCGGUGAAAUGCUUAGAGAUCACACAGAACACCGAUUGCGAAGGCAGCUCACAAAGCCUCUUCUGACGCUGAGGCACGAAAGCGUGGGGAGCAAACAGAAUUAGAUACCCUGGUAGUCCACGCCGUAAACGAUGAUAACUCGUUGCCGGCGAUAUAUUGUCGGUGACUUAGCGAAAGCGAUAAGUUAUCCACCUGGGGAGUACG